GACGUAGGGCGCGAGCGUUGUCCGGAUUUAUUGGGCGUAAAGAGCUCGUAGGCGGCUUGUCGCGUCGUCUGUGAAAUCCCGCGGCUCAACCGCGGGUCUGCAGUCGAUACGGGCAGGCUAGAGUUCGGUAGGGGAGACUGGAAUUCCUGGUGUAGCGGUGAAAUGCGCAGAUAUCAGGAGGAACACCGAUGGCGAAAGCAGGUCUCUGGGCACUAACUGACGCUGAGGAGCGAAAGCAUGGGGAGCGAACAGG
rnacentral:rRNA from 1 species